GGAUAAUUGGAAAGUCCCUGUGUGUCAACCUUUGUGCUUCGUGGCAAGGUAGACUAGCAAACAUGCUCAACCUUUACUCACAUUCGAGACAACACUUCCAACAAGAUUGCUUGCUCCAAAAUCGAAGAGGCACCGCCCUCCGAAUCUCGAGAGCCAGACUCCCAACAUGAUUACUUCCUCAAAAAUUGAAGAGACACUGCUCUCCGAA
rnacentral:lncRNA from 1 species